rnacentral:rRNA from 1 species
GGGGAAUAUUGCACAAUGGAGGAAACUCUGAUGCAGCGACGCCGCGUGAAGGAUGAAGUAUUUCGGUAUGUAAACUUCUAUCAGCAGGGAAGAAAAUGACGGUACCUGACUAAGAAGCCCCGGCUAACUACGUGCCAGCAGCCGCGGUAAUACGUAGGGGGCAAGCGUUAUCCGGAUUUACUGGGUGUAAAGGGAGCGUAGACGGCACGGCAAGCCAGAUGUGAAAGCCCGGGGCUCAACCCCGGGACUGCAUUUGGAACUGCUGAGCUAGAGUGUCGGAGAGGCAAGUGGAAUUCCUAGUGUAGCGGUGAAAUGCGUAGAUAUUAGGAGGAACACCAGUGGCGAAGGCGGCUUGCUGGACGAUGACUGACGUUGAGGCUCGAAAGCGUGGGGAGCAAACAGGAUUAGAUACCCUGGUAGUCCACGCCGUAAACGAUGACUGUUAGGUGUCGGGUGGC